rnacentral:misc_RNA from 1 species
ACAAAUAACUUUAGGCCCCUCCGGCUGUCCCAACGGGGCGAAGGGGGGAACACCUAAACAUUUGUGUGCACCAUAUCUGUUUUUGGCAGUUCGAGUGUCCUGGGUUUGCGUAACUGCCUCAGGUACCUACCUGGGCAAGCCUCCGGGUUUGCCUCGGGUUGGGCUGCCGCCCUUUUGAACAUUUGCUUUUUUUUUGAUGCCUGAAAUUGUUUGAUCUUCGCAGAUUAAAUUUAAAUA